GUGCUGGGAUUACAGGUGUGAGCCACCGUGCCUGGCAGUGUUUUUAUGAAAACACUGUAUAAAACAUUCUGUAUAAAACACUGUAUUAAACACUGUAUAAAACAUUUAUCUCUGUAUAAAACAUUCAGAGAUAUUUUAAGGACCUUGUUUUAACUUUGUUUCAAAUGUUUUAAGGAAAUUCCUUAAUUUUUGUGCCAAAUUUGAUAUUCAAUUUGAUUUCUGAAGUUGCUUUUUAAAGAUGUUCAUUUAAGAUGUAAAGAUUAUUUAAAUUGCCUUUAAAAUUAAUGAAUUAACUUUUAAAGUGCAGUUCACUUUUUUGAGUGUUGUAGAGAGCACUCAAAUAAUGAUGGUUAAAAGGAGUAUGUUAUUUUUGGAUUAUGCUGAAUUAUUUAUUUUCCAGUGUUCCUAAACCCAAAGGAAAGAAAACCAAAGAUACGAAAAAACCUGUCAGAGUACCUGCUGAACCACAAACAAUGAGUGUUCUUAUCAGCUGUACAACCUGCCAUAGUGAAUUUCCAUCUCGGAAUAAACUUUUUGACCAUCUAAAGGCCACAGGUCAUGCAAGAGCACCUUCAUCAUCGUCUUUAAACAGCGCAACAAGUAGUCAAAGCAAGAAAGAGAAACGUAAAAACAGAUAGAGAUUCUGCCUGUGCUUUUGUUUGACUGUCUCUAGAUUUUGAAACCAAAAAACUGAACUGAAAUCAUCUAAAGAGUUAAAAUUUCAGUGAUCUGCAAUUAAUUACAUUGUGGAAGAUUAUUUUUUAUCUUGUAAAAACAUU
rnacentral:sRNA from 1 species